rnacentral:lncRNA from 1 species
UAACCCAAACAGACUCAAAGGCGGCUGGCGGCGUUGGCGAGCAAGGCGCGGCGGAAGAAGGAGAGGCGACGGAAUAAGACGAGCCAGAGGGCGCUCAGGGUGACCCGACUCUGGUUUCUUUUGUGGAGGGAGCGACGUCAGUGAAAGGGGGAGCAGAGAUCGAGAGGGACGGUUUGUUCCAGUGCCAUGAUAGGGCGCGGAGGAGCAGAACGACCCUCUUCGUGGAUGGCAUUGCGAAGGCGGUGGGCUACCUACACUACGAGGCAUGUUCGCUCUGUUCGGAAAGAUUUUGAAUUUGUUCUUUCAGCGGAAUCGCAAGUUUGGGCGGCGAUUCCGCUUCGAAUUCUUUCGUUUCUUCUCUGAGGAGCAAGCCUAUUUUGCAGUCAACGUUCUAGAUGGCCUUAAGGUGGGUGGAGCAGCCCUAUCGGUGGCAUCGAUGAAGUUUCCAAGGGACAAAUCGAGAAGCUCUGUUUUUCAGGGAUGUCGCAGCAAGGGUUCGCCGACGUCGAUGGCUGACCCAUACAAGCCUAGCGUUUGUGGGCAGAAAUCUUGGAGGGAGGAUCUUGUAGGUAAGUGAUGUUUAUUUCUUACCUUUCCUCUUGAAGAGCUGAGGGGGUUGGAUCGUGGCUGCGUUUUAGGGGAAAGAAUCUGUGUUGAAUUUGUUUUCCCUGAAAUCGGUUCAUGGUCCCUUGGUUCGGGUGAGGUGCUGCCUUCCUCUCCUCUACA